UCAACUCUUGCUCUGUCUUCGUUCCUUACUCUUCUUCCUCUGUUUCUUCACUCUCGCACUUACACCUUCCAAUUCGAUUCCAAUGAAAUCUAGGGUUUUGCUUUGAUCCUCUCACACACUCUCUCUGCUUCUCGCACUCAUCAAUCAAUGGCUUCCUCUUCGUCUCUACUCUUACUCCAGCUCAAAUUUCUUGCUCCGCAAAUCACCACCAAACCACGCCGUUCUCUCUCCAGAUUUCACUCUCGCUCUCCCGCUCGGAGCUCCAGGCGCAAUGCUAGUAUCCGCGCGGUCAAGGAAGAAGGUGCCGUCAUUGACAGAGUGAAUGACGUGGAGUGGAGUGGGAACGGAGUUGCUGCAAGCGGACGCGGUGGUAACGGCGCCGUUAAUGGUUAUGUGAAUGGCGUAUCCGGCGUUAGGGAGAGUGGGAGCGCGAAUGGAAGCUUGGUGAAGUACGUUAAUGGCAAUGGCAAUGGUGUGGCGGCGGAAGUGGUGGUGGAAGAUUUUAUGGGAGCGUCGAAACGGAGAGAGGAUGGACGGAAGAGGAGGUUGGAGGAGAUUGGUAAAGAGGACGCGUGGUUCAAAAAACAAAGUGCGGAAGCACCGAUUGAGGUGGCGGUUGCUCCUGGAGGUCGAUGGAGCAGGUUCAAGACUUAUUCGAUGAUCCAGAGGACGUUGGAGAUCUGGGGAUUUGUUAUAACUUUUAUUUUCAAGUCUUGGCUAAAUAAUCGGAAGUUCUCUUAUAAAGGAGGAAUGACAGAGGAAAAGAAAACCUUAAGGCGAAAGACCCUUGCCAAGUGGCUGAAGGAGAGCAUUCUGAGAUUAGGUCCUACGUUUAUCAAAGUUGGCCAGCAAUUCUCCACAAGAGUGGACAUUCUUCCGCAAGAAUAUGUUGACCAGUUGUCUGAACUUCAGGAUCAAGUUCCUCCAUUUCCCUCCGAGACUGCUAUAGCUAUUGUUGAAGAAGAACUUGGAUCUCCUGUAGCUAGCAUCUUUGAUCAUUUUGACUAUGAACCAAUAGCUGCUGCAAGUCUUGGCCAGGUUCACCGUGCAAGAUUAAAUGGGCAAGAGGUUGUUGUUAAAGUGCAAAGGCCUGGUCUCAAAGAUCUUUUUGAUAUUGAUCUUAAAAAUCUGAGGGUCAUUGCUGAAUAUCUUCAAAAAAUUGAUCCUAAAUCAGAUGGUGCAAAGAGGGAUUGGGUUGCUAUUUAUGACGAGUGUGCUUCUGUUUUAUAUCAGGAGAUUGAUUACACCAAGGAAGCUGCUAAUGCUGAACUAUUUGCAAACAACUUUAAGCAAUUGGAUUAUGUGAAAGUCCCUACAAUCUACUGGGAUUAUACCACACCCCAGAUUCUGACAAUGGAGUAUGUUCCCGGGAUUAAAAUAAAUAAAAUACAAGCUUUAGAUCAACUGGGUGUUGAUCGGAAAAGGUUAGGGCGAUAUGCAGUGGAGUCUUACUUGGAGCAGAUUUUAUCACAUGGUUUCUUCCAUGCUGACCCUCAUCCCGGAAAUAUUGCAGUUGAUGAUGUCAAUGGUGGAAGAUUGAUCUUUUAUGAUUUCGGAAUGAUGGGAAGUAUCAGUCAGAAUAUUCGAGAAGGUUUACUUGAAGCUUUUUAUGGAAUUUAUGAGAAGAAUCCAGAAAAGGUCCUUCAAUCAAUGAUUCAAAUGGGUGUUCUUGUCCCAACUGGAGAUAUGACUGCUGUUAGACGAACGGCUCAGUUCUUCCUUAAUAGUUUUGAAGAGCGUUUGGCUGCACAAAAGAGAGAGAGAGAGAUGGCAACGGCUGAACUUGGAUUCAAAAAGCCAUUAAGCAAAGAGGAAAAAGUAACGAAGAAGAAAGAGCGUCUGGCUGCAAUUGGUGAGGAUUUAUUAGCCAUUGCAGCAGACCAGCCCUUUCGUUUUCCUGCUACAUUCACAUUUGUUGUUAGAGCCUUCUCAGUGUUGGACGGCAUUGGAAAGGGCCUCGAUCCUCGUUUUGAUAUUACAGAGAUUGCCAGACCUUAUGCUCUGGAGUUGUUAAAAUUCCGUGAGGCAGGAGUUGAAGUUAUCCUAAAGGAUUUGAGAAAGAGAUGGGACAGACAAUCUCAAGCAUUCUACAAUUUAUUUAGACAGGCUGAUAGGGUUGAAAAGCUUGCUGAAAUCAUCCAAAGAUUGGAGCAAGGUGACCUAAAGCUCCGAGUCCGAGCAUUGGAAUCUGAGAGGGCAUUCCAGCGUAUUGCCGCUGUCCAGAAGACAAUAGGGAAUGCAAUAGCUUCUGGGAGCCUAAUAAAUCUUGCAACAAUUCUGUAUCUGAACUCAAUUAAGGUGCCUGCCACUAUAGCAUAUGUGUUCUGUGCAAUCUUUGGUUUUCAAGUGCUCUUUGGCAUUGUGAAGAUCAAGAAGCUAGAUGAACGGGAAAGGCUGGUUACAGGGACUGCAUAAGCAACUACUCGAUUAACUAUUCAUGUGGAUAAUAGGUUUUUUCUUUUGGCCAUGAUCGUCUAUUGGUCCUUGAACAAAAAAAGAAAAAACUGGUAUUCUGGAGACAAAUUCUCGUUGUUUUCUACCCUGGGGAAUUCAAGUGAAAUUUAGGAUGGACACGUAUCUUUUGUUACGGUCAUGAUAAGAACAUACAAGCCAACCUUCGGGUCACGAAAUUGAUUUGAAGUUCAAACUAAGUUAACAUCUUGACAUACAUCAGCAUGUGCCAAGGCUGGCAGGCAUGCUGAAGUGAUCGGGCUAAGGUAACCAAUUGGCGAGCCACAUUUUUGUCAUUAACAUUCUUACCUCAUCCAUAUUGUAAAUUUUAUAGGCAUUGGUGUAGCGUUUAUUGUUGUAAUCACCAUAUAGUAUGGUGGAGCUUCCGACAUAGUUUGACAGCUGGAAGCUCUACUUGUAACUCGUACAUAACUUUGUCCAAUGAGGAUACAAAUGUAAGUAUUUGUCAUAGAUAUGACGUUUGUCAGAAAAUGCAGUUAUUAUGGUUACUGUUUA